rnacentral:rRNA from 1 species
CAGCAGCCGCGGUAAUACAGAGGGUGCGAGCGUUAAUCGGAUUUACUGGGCGUAAAGCGUGCGUAGGCGGCUUCUUAAGUCGGAUGUGAAAUCCCUGAGCUUAACUUAGUAAUUGCAUUCGAUACUGGGAAGCUAGAGUAUGGGAGAGGAUGGUAGAAUUCCAGGUGUAGCGGUGAAAUGCGUAGAGAUCUGGAGGAAUACCGAUGGCGAAGGCAGCCAUCUGGCCUAAUACUAACGCUGAGGUACGAAAGCAUGGGGAGCAAACAGGAUUAGAUACCCCUGUAGUCCCUGUCUCUUAUAC